rfam:Gossypium hirsutum cultivar TM-1 chromosome 6, whole genome shotgun sequence
AAACCAUGCAUUGGGCAUUUUCUAAUUAACUCCUUGAAUCACUCACAUGCCCUAUAUAAUGUUUCAUCCUCAGAUUGUCGAAAGGAUGUAAUAUCGUUCUUCAAUUU